GCCAUGUGUGGUAUAGUGGUUUGAGUGUUGGACUGAGAUUCGGGAGACCAGGGUUUGAAUCCCUGCUCUGCCA